rnacentral:lncRNA from 1 species
AAUCUUUUCUACACCUCAGUUGGCAUUGGAACACCUCAACACAAUUUCAAUCUAGUGAUUGAUAUUGGAGGACCAACUAUAUGGUAUGACUGCAACAAAAACUAUAACUCUUCAACCUACAAUCCCAUCUCUUGUGACUCCAAGCUUUGCCCUAAAUUUAGUGGAUGCACUGGCUGCUCUGGCCCUUUCAAACCAGGUUGCUCAAACAAUACAUGUGCUGCUAACAUAAUUAACCCAUUAGUCAAUGCUAUUUUUGUAGGUGACACUGGCAAUGAUGUUUUGUUCAUAUCACACUCUAAAGUCUCUAACCUACUUUCUGGAUGCACUGAAUCAGAAGUGUUUACAGGUGAAGAUGUUCCUCUUAAAAACUUACCAAAAACUAGUAAAGGGAUAUUAGGCCUUGCAAGAACAAAACUUUCACUACCAAAACAGCUUUCAUCAUCUUCUUCUCAUAAGCUUCCUAACAAAUUUGCUCUUUGUUUACCAUCUUCAAACAAGAAAGGACUUGGUAGCCUCUUCAUUGGUGGGAUACCCCAACAAAGUUCUUUUUUCAAGUUUCAACUCACUAAAAUUCCUCUUGUUAUUAACCCCUUUAGCACUGCUCCAAUAUUUACUAAAGGUGAUGCUUCUUAUGAAUAUUUCAUUGAUGUGAAAUCAAUUAAAGUUGGUGGUGAAAUUCUUAACUUUAAGUCUUCCCUUUUGUCCAUUGACAAUAAGGGAAAUGGUGGGACAAAAAUUAGCACCAUGAAAUCUUUCUCAGUGUUGCAUAGUUCAAUUUAUAGUACUCUUGUUAGAGAUUUUGUGAAGAAGGCUUCUGAUAAAAAAAUAAAGAAAGUGGCAUUAGUGGCACCAUUUGGAGCAUGUUUUGAUUUUAGCACCAUUGGUAGGACUAAUACUGGAUUGGAUGUACCAACUAUUGAUUUGGUUCUACAAGGUGGUGUAGAGUGGACAAUUUACGGUGGAAAUUCAAUGGUGUUGGUGAAUAAAAAGGUAGCAAGUCUUGGAUUUGUGGAUGGUGGUAAAAAGCCAACAACAUCAGUUGUUAUUGGUGGGCACCAAUUGGAGGACAAUCUACUGGAGUUUGAUUUAGUUUCAUCUAAAUUAGGAUUCAGCUCUUCCCUGCUUCUUCAUAAUGCAAGAUGUUCUAAUUCAUAAACUAAUUUCUCUCUUAUUUCAAUUGAGUGAGAUUAUGAGUUUAAUUAACUUUUGUUCUUUCCAUUUCAAUUGAGUUAGGUUAGAUCUAUGGUUGUAACUUUUUCCUUUCUCUUUCUGUCUGAAUUUAAUAAAGUAAAAUGUCACUUAUUAUUGGCUGAGAAUUAAUGAAGUGCAUCCAUUUUUGCUUAAUUUGUGUAUGAUGCUAGUUCAAAGAAAACUCCCUCUAUUAUGGUUCAUAAUUUAUACACAUUAACACAAUAAAAAAAGUGAAUAGACGGACACGGAAUACCUCUUUGAACACUAGUACAAUAUAAUAGGAAAUGUAUUCACAAGUGACGAGUACAACUAUAAAUAUCAGAGUAUCCAUACUUUAGGUAAUGAAAGACAGUAGAAAUAUUGGUAAUAAACAAAAUGGCACCAGAAAUUGGUAAUGAAAGGCUCAAACUUAGAGAAGACGUGAUAGGGGCGGAUCUACACAUUUGAUAUAUGUGUGGCUAAAAUUUCAAAGAAACAAUAAUGUAAACUAUAUAAAAAAUAAGAAAUAACAUUGUUUGAUACAAUACAUUGCAAUGAAAAUCAUCUCAUAUUCAUAUGUUGAAAAUGAGCUAAAAUGACAUCAUUGCUAAUUGUUAAAAGAACAUUCUUUCUAUAUAAGUUACAAGACAAUCAUCUAGCCACAGAUCACCUAUUUUGUUACAUAUAUAGUUGACUUUUCAUAACUUUCAUAGCUGAAAAAACACGUUCAACAUUUGCAAAUGCUACCAGCAAGAGCAAAGUCAACGUCAAAAGCUUAUAAACCAUAACAAAUGUGUUGAACUUAUUGUGUUCUGGUUGUUGUUCGUGAGGGACAUAGAGUUCGGAUGGAUAGGGAAUAUUGUAUGUUGUUCUACAUAUUGUGUUUUAUUUAUAUAAAAAUAAAUAAUGGGAAAUUGCAUGUGCAUGUGUGGCUUUAGCCACACAUAGGCCAAUAGUGUGUCCGCCCCUGAGACGUGGCCUCAUGCAAGGAAAAGGCGGGUCACUUCAUUGAAGCAAAUUUUGGUUUAAAAUGGACAUUUUAGUCAACAAAAUACAUACUCGAUCAUCUUUAUUGUAAUACUCCUCCAUCCUAUUUAUAAAAGAUAUUUGAAUCAACAUAGUUGAUAUAUUUAAUCUAAAUUUUUAACUAAAUACAUCAAUUUUUGUUAACUAAAAUCAGCGGAAUCGAGUAUCAAAGAUGAAAGUAGUGUCACGGCUUCCCCUCUCAUAUUACGCUGCUGAAAUGUUAUGCAACUUAGUCUAAAUGCAAGAAAAUAUGGUACAAUGUGUCUAUGAUUCACAAACUGUGGGUUAGAGAAUAAAGUUGAGAGGAUAAAAGCGUGGUAUUGAAUAAUUAAAUGAUGAACAGCUGUAUAUAUUAAUGAAUUAAGUAGCACAAGAGUCCAGGCCUCCCAACUAUAUUUUAAAAACAACUUGGUGAUAUUUUUGGCAAGAAUUCUGGACCAUUGGAUCAUUGAAUCACGGGUUGAAUCACAUAGUUGAACAAGAUAAAAUCAAAUAACUCAAAGGUAUAUUUCGGGUGUCUAUAUUUUUACAAAAAAAAUGUUUGAUAAAAAUUUAACUAACACAGAAAUGUUAUUGGUGCAAUUUGGGUUAGAAUCCUCUCCAUUUACUAUAUAUUUUUUCAUUUAUUAUAAAGAGAUACAUACAAAUUUUUUGACAAAAGUAAUAAAAUAAUUAAUGAUGGUGAGAUCUAUUAAUUGAUCAAACUCACAACGUAUUUUUCGUGUGUGUAUCUCUUUAAUUAAAAUUCUGUCAAAAAAAUCUCUUUAUUUAAAGAGUUUUUUUGACAGAAUUUUAAUUAAAGAGAUAAAUAAAGAGAUUUUUUUGACAGAAUUUUAAUUAAAGAGAUACGCUUAUAUCGUACCAAAAAAAAUCUCAUUUAUAUGUUGCAAACAAUUAAAAAUGAAAUGAAAAGACAAAUUUAACAUUAAAAUGAUAACUUUUUCAAGUUUCAAAAUGUAAAAUACACAAUCUUUCAAAAAAAAAAAAAAUGUAAAAUAUACAAUUUUUACAAAAAUAUUUCAUUUUAUAAUUCUUUAACUAAUAUCCAUGAGUCACUAGUUAGCAUUUCCCAUUUCAAAAUGGAGAUUAUUCUUAUUCCAAUUUGUGUAAUUUAUUAUGAUUUUUUUAGCUUUUUGAAGAGAUGUUAAUGAAUUGGUCCUUUAUCUGCAGUUUUAAAGUUUCUUAUUCCUAUGCUUACUAGUACUUGCAAUUUGCAAAAACCAAAAAUAGUGAUCAUCGAACUGCAUGCUUAAUUGCUUCACACUGCCGCAAGACACAAAGUAACGGAGUCAGUAAAAAAUAAAACUGGUUGAGUUGAACAAAUUAUUGCAUCAUCGAACUGUGUGUUGAACAUGCAUGGAGUACGGUGUUCGUGUUUCUAAAACAAAUAUGUACUAUACUUUUCUUUUAUUAGGGGAAAUGCAGACGAAGCAUAUAAAAUCAAACUACAGUUAAUAUGAUAAUAAUUCUGUUCAAUAACUAAAUGAUCUCGAAGUUAUUUUACUAUUGCAAAUAAGCCGGAAGUAAAACAAGAAGAGAAACACGCAAUUUGGAUAAUGAACAGAUCCAGUACUACAACAUAAUUGACAUCUAGUAACACAUGAAAAUUAUUACUAAAUUAAAAAAAAUGUUAUUAAUUAAAAUUAGUAACAUUUGUACAAUUGUUAGGUAAAGCCCAUAUUACUAAAGAGCUUUAGUUACAUUUUGUAGUAUUAUCUGUAACAUUUAAAAAUUGUCGUAAAAUGUUACAUUAUUAUAACACUUUUUGUAUCACUCGUAACACUAAAAAGUUAUUACAUUUAUAAUUUUUGAGAAGUUGUAAAAAAUGUCGCAAAAUUGUCCAGGCUAAAAAAUUGUGAAACUACCAAAAAAUGUUACUACUAGUUGAAAUAGAUUAAAAAAAAAGUGGAUUAUCAAUAGGAGUUUUUGUACUCAAUCUACCACAUUGAAUCUAGAGAUUGCAUAAGUGUUUUUACAUGAUCCAAGCAAAUCAAAAUACUACAUUUUGAUCAAAAUUUAGAUCGAUGAUUUUGGAUAACAUUAUAAUCAAAUAAGAUAUCCUAACCAGUAAUAAUCACUUUUUCCAUCAAAUUAAAAAAAAUAAAAAAAAAUUAGCCAUGAGGGAAUCUAACCAAGCUAAUGCAACAAAAAUCUUUGUUUGCAAAACCAUCUUUCAUAGCUUCUCUGGAAACAACAAAAGUCUUCUAGCUGCAAGUAUUUAGAAGGAACGUGAGAACAAAAACAAAAUAAAAGUAAAUUUGAGGUAUAAAUAAUUGAACCAAAUCCAACAAUCACUAGAAAAUUGAGAUAUAAAAAUGGAGCAGAAUUUACCUUUACUAAAGAUGAAGCAAGCAAAAUCCUAUUGAUUUAAAUGUUUCUACUUUCUGAAGAGAAGAAGAGAGGAAGGACUUCCUCUGAUAUUGUUAUAUUUCCUGAGAGUAAAACCAAUCCUACCAUAUCCUAAGCACAAAAAACAUCAUAUAGAUUCACAAUUACCACGCAACAGAACAUACAAGCUACUCAAAUAGUGAUAAAAUAUAGAAACCAAUCGAAAAGGAAAAGCAUGAUCAAAUCAAACACCUUUGUAGAGAUGAACAGGACAACACAAGGAUCAUGUUAAACUCUUGUUCAACAAUAAAUGUUCUUGCAAGACCCAAAGGAUGGACCAGCCUGCAAAAUUUCUAACAUCACGUAAUCGUUAGAAAGAAAUAACUUUCCUUUUGUCAAACAAAGAUUUCCGGUAAUAUAUCACGUUUGAAAGAGACACAAAAGUGAAAAGGCCGAAAAACAAUUAUUGGUAUUACAAGUGGAAAUAGAAUUGAAACUAAUAUGGCAAACUGAAUUAGAGAAAGACUCGGUUUCUGGAAAAUCAAUUUUGUAGAAACUACCAACUAAUCUAGUUGUACCAAUCAUCCUCUUGGUAGUGUCCUGCAAAAAUUAGAAGUAAAGACAGCAACAUAUCUUGGAACUGAAAUUAAAUUGGCAUGAAAGUUAGUAACAACAAAAAUACUUUGUUGGUAGAAUGAAAUGCACAUGAAGCUUUUGUCUUAGACUGCUGAAGCAAAUUCAUGAGACUGUUGUAUUGAUCUUGUGUAAACCCCUUUAGCACUGCUCCAAUAUCUGGUAAAGGUGAUGCUUUUUAUGAAUAUUUAAUUGAUGUGAAAUCAAUUAAAGUUGGUUGCAAAGUUCUCAACUUUAAGUCUUCCAUUUUGCCCAUGGACAAUAAGGAAUAUGGUGGAACAAAAUUUACCACCAUGAAGUCCUUCACAGUGUUGCAUAGUUCUAUAUUUAAAUCUUUUUGCUAAGAAAUCUGCUGAUAAAAAAAAAUAAAGCAAGUGGCAUCAGUGACACAAUUUGGAGCAUGUUUUGAUUUAAGUGCUAUUGGUAGGACUAUUAUUGGAUUGGAUGUGAUAAAUAUUGAUUUGGUCCUAAAAAGGGGUGUGAAGUGGACAGUAUGUAUAUGGUGGAAAUUCAAUGGUGUUGGUGAAUAAAAAUGUAGCAUGUCUUGGAUUUGUGGAUGGUGGUAAAGAACCAAGAAGAUCAAUUGUUAUUGGUGGGCACCAAUUGGAGGAGAAUCUAUUGGAGUUUGAUUUAGUUUCUUCCAAAUUAGGAUUCAUCUCUUCCCUUCCCCUUCAUAAUUCAAGAUAUUCCAACUUCAGAAGCUAAUUUCUGUCCUAUUUUAGUUACGCAGCAUUACGAGUCUAUCCAUCUCCUGUCCUUCAAUUUCAUACUCCUGUAUCUAACCUUUGUGAGUUGUUAGGGUUUCCUUGUGUCAUUGAGAGGAGCCAUCCUGUGAAACUGCACUAGAAUUAGGAAGAACCAUUUAGCAAUUGUUUCAUACCGAUCAAAAUCGUAUUCCAAUCGAUAAAACCCUUAAUUAUGUUAUGUUUCAAUUUUUAUUGGGUAGAAAGAAACCAGCAGCUUUCUAAAUUGUUGUUUUUAUCCUGUGUCUGAAAGGUGUUUUUAAAGUGAGUUUGUUGUUAUCAAGAUCUUCCGUUUGACUCACUUUUUCGUCUUAAGACAUGAAUAGAGUUUAAUUCAUUAAUGUAAUGGGAUGGGUACGUUGAAUUGUUGAUUUAAUUAGGGAUGUCUCAUGAUCCCUAAGUAUCCUACGACGAUAUUGUUACGAAUUAGGUUUUGUUCAUUCUAUUCCCCUGUUCAAAGGUUUUAGUUUCCUUUCAUUCUAUUUCAUCUGAAUUCGAUGAUGAAUUCUUUUUUGAAAUUUUGCUUAUCUAUAGUUACUUUGCUGGACAACAUCAUUGAACAUUUUCUCAGAACUUUUUACUUACUGAACAGUGCCAUUUUUUUUUUCUUUUUGCUUUCUUUGUUAUCUUUAGGAGUUUCUAGCAUUCUUGUUGCACACAAUAAACUUCAAAAUUAGUUGAGAUUAAAUAUUUUAGUCAAAACAAAUUCAUAGUAUGAGCACAAGAUAAGCAGGAAGUAAAAUAGUUCUGCAGAAACCUAUAUAUGUAGAUUGACACUUGACAUAAAAUGUGUGUUUAAUCAUAAUAUGCACCUUUUAUGAAGGUCCCAGCAAAUAGCUUUAUAUAAGCUCAAAGACAUAUUUAUCAGUUUCAUAUAAAUAUUCAUUUGUUCUACAAUGGUCCAGCGACCGAAAAAUUCAAUUCUGCAGAUUCAUGGCACCAACCUGUGUAUCAGAAAUUAAAUUUUACAGUGAUUCAAAUCAUGUAGAAUGUUUUGCCAAUGUCAUUCUUCAAUAGCAAUAUAAGCCAUGUAGAUCCUUUAAGCAAUAAAAUUAUUAAUUGUUAAUGCUUAUCGCUAAUGCCAAUCAGUGCAUAAUAUACGUAAGGAAGGGAUGAAAUGAGGAAUGAUAUAUGAAAAGGAAAUUAAGAAAUAAAUAGAGGAAAAUGGAAGUAAUUGAAACAUGAAUUUCCUUAUUAUUGACAACAUGAUUUUAAAAUUCAAAAUACAUAAUAAUUCAACUAUUCAGAUAGUAAUAAUCAAUUUUACAUGUGAACAAUAUAUAACCUCUUCUAUACUAAAUACUUAUGAAAUUUUCAUUAAAUUUGACGGAUCCCAAUAGCAAUCUAAAGACUACGCUACAAUUCUUCAUAUAUCUUCAAACUUUUAUCCAUGUUAUUUUUUUUAAUCUGCAUAAUCAUUGUUGCUACAUAAUUCACAUUGUUGACUACAGCUACUGACAAACAUUCAACCUCCAAAAAUAUAUAAUGUUUAAAUCUAUAUUCUAUAUCAGAUGAUCAAACAUGGUAUAGAAUUAUCAAAAAAGAAAAAAAAAAGGUUAUUUUGCGUUCCUGCACUGCAUCAGAUCUGUCAUUAAUAGAAGAUCAAGAAUCACAAACAGCACAACCAAUAUAAAAAAAAAGGUUUGUAAGGUGGGGAGUGUCUCCUUUUUAUAAACUCUUGUCAAAAACUAUCUAUCCAACGUGGGACUCGGGUAUUUCUCAAUGCACCUUGGUAUUUCUCAAGACACCCCUCACGCCCAACAUUAUUGGGCUUGAUGUGUGUAUAUAAAUAGUCGGUGGCAUAAUUGAUAAGUUCUGAAACCAUGUUGAAAUUGAGUCUUAUUGUCUUACUCAUCCUUAUAAAACCGGCUUGCAAGGUGAAGAGUGUAUCCUCUUUAUAAACUCUUACCAUGAGUCUCAUUGGUGACUAAAUUUGACAAGUGCACCAAACUGUUUCCAAGUAAUAAAGUAUUAUGUAAAAUCGUCUCCACAGGGAUUGUCGUUUCGACUAGGCAAUUAGCUAAACCUAGUAAACGCAAUAGAAUGGGGGAAGUUUGCAAGUUUGUUUUGUUUGUGCAAAGCGAUUGGAUAGAUUGCAGAAAAUAAAAAGGGUUUGAUUCAAAGUUUUAGCGACGAUUAGAAUUCCUCGAUUCCCCAUCUAUCUCUUUGUUGGGAUUAAUGCUAAUACAACUACAAAUUAUGAAAUGAUAUUUCUUAUUUAAGUGGUUAGUUCGGUGGGUUCCAGCUUCCCUCUAGAUGUUAUGUUGCUCCUCAAUCACCCAACAUGCAAUAUGGGGUACGUGGUUGUCAAUCCUCUAGAGUUCCGUACACGUCAAAUAAUUAUAAAGUGAGAAUUUACACUCUCAUAGGUAAUUCCCACAUAGCAUAGUUGAAAUUCUUAAAUUGUCAUCUAAAGGAACCACUUUUACAUACAAAUCUUAAAAUUUCACCACAUACAAUUGACUCCAAUUGAUUAAAGAAAUAAGAAUAACCCUAAUUAAUUAGAGAAAGAAGAAUAAAGUUAAUAUGUAACGAUUUUUGUGUAAGGCAGAUCCCAAACUGCACCUAAUCUAAGAUUAGUCACACUGACUAGGUAUGUCAAACUCUCCAGAGCAUGAAGGCAUUAUAUUAUGCGAUACUUAUGAAAAUUUAAUAGAUCUCAAAUCAUAACUGAAGAAAAGACUUGCAUGAACAUAAUCCAACAAAUAAAUAAAGGUUGAUCUUAGAACCCUAAUCAAAGGGUGUUUAGUUACUCAUGGUAACAAAAGAUAUAAUACAAAAGAAAUAAAAUAUACUCUAACAACAAAGGUUUAGGAGAGACUCCUCCUUGAUGCUCCUAGUGUCCGCCUUCCUGUUGAACGCCAAGUUUUGAAUGAAUAUUUGUGAGUGGAAGAAGUUGUAUUUAUAGAUAUAUUUGCUACUGGAUUUGGGCUAGAAAAUUAGGUGUGUUCCCCAAACUCGUAGAAAAAAUAAAGCAAAACGUAUUUUUUCAGCACAAAACGUGCAUCGUGCGUCAGGUUAGGCGUGUGGCAGCUAACAAAGAGCAAAAUUCUCUCUGUCCCAUGCACCUGGGCAACAUGAGACACACACGAGGCGUGUGGCCUCAACCUCUCGUGCUGAUUUUGCUUUUUUCUUCGUUUUUUCCUGUGUUUUCUUUCUCCAAUGUGAUCUUGGAAUUUUGGAACUGAAUUCCCCCAACUUGUAAUAUCUUCAAAUCCUUCAUGACCAUUGAUGAUCUUUAAAUCCUCCAAUGUGGGUGCCCAAGUUUCAUGGGGAGCUAAGUGCCAACAUCAUCAACAUUGAAUUGACAUCAUCAAAAAGGGGGAGAAUGAAGCUGCCAUUUACUACACGAAAUCUGAAAAUUUGCCAGGGGCGGAUUCAUUUUCAUAAGAUUUAAUUUAAAUAAAAUUUGACAUUAUAUCGAUGUAAUUUGAUUCAUUUACAUAUAUAUAUAUAUAUAUAUAUAUAUAUAUAUUAAUAUUAUAGAGUACAAUAAUAAUAAUAAUAAUUUAUAGAAAACUGCUAAGAGUUAUGAAAUCUAAAAAAUAAAUAUUAUUUUGAAUAAUGGUAAGAAAAUGUAUAUUCAACAUUUUGGAUGUUUUAAAAGGUUUUUUUUUUUUUUUUUUACAAAUUGAAAAGGGUUGUUUCCGAUACAAAAUUUCUACUUUUUACAUUCUUAUCAAAUUUAAUUAGAGCACUUGUUACAUAAUCCUAAUUUACAUUGCAAUACAAACUUAUCUCCAUUUGUGAUGUGAAAAAUAUAAUAAAUAAAGACCCCGUCAAAAGAUAAUAAUAAUUAAAGACUCAUACAUGUGCAUAUUAAAUAUUAUAAAACAUACAGACAAAAAAAAAAUAUUUUCCCCUAAAAAAAUAAUAUUUUAAAACAUUUAAAAACCUACUUGACCCUUUAUCAAAAAAACAAAACUACUUGACCCUUUAUACAGAAAAACAAAACUACUUGACCCUUUUUGGGACUAAAAUAACCAACCUACGUAUACUUGUCUAAUUUAAAAUGGAACAUGCCUUUUCUCCUCUGGCAUCACAAGGAAUUAUCUAGUCUAGUAAGAAAAUGGUUGACAGCGUUCAUUUUUUUAGUUAAUGCAAUAAUAAAAGUGGUUAAUGACAUAACUUAAAAUCUGUGUUACAAAAAUCACCGCUCGCUUUUUACUUUUAACAAACAAAAAUGAUAUAUAUAAACACGGACAAACAAUCUCCUUAACAUAUAUAAGGUAUAUCAAAAAGACCACUUAAAACUUUACAAUGUCAAAGUCUAGAUAUAGAAACAAAUUAGCCAAUGCCCAAACACAAGAGCGGGCUCGACCACCACAUAUGAAUACCAAAAACAAAAUUAACUUUCUUAGCUUUAAGCCACCAUAAAGACAAUGACUUAACCUUUUUCCAAUAUCUGAAUCAUAGAAUUUUCUCUUUGCUUAAAUAACCUGCUGUUACGCUGAUUUCACACAAUCCAAACACACAGUAACCGGACAAGCUGAAGAAAGGACCACCUUGGUUUUAGCCCACCUGUGUAAAAAAUAAAUUGCUGAAAGUGAUAUAAAAUAAUCUGAGAAUCUGCCCCUUCAAAACCGAUCCACGACCGCACUAGCGGCCAAAGAGUGCCGAACAUGCUGCACGAGAUCAUGUUGAGCGUCCUCCACAUGACCACACCCAGCCACAUAAAACCGCUCAUCUGAAGUAAUAAUUAAACUAAAUAACCAGCCACCUACAAAGAAAGUGUGUUCUGGUAUCAUUUUUCAGUAAGUUUAUUUCUAGAAGACAUAAUUGUUUACUUCUUGAUCAAACUCUAGAUUGUUAGUGUUCAUUUUCACCUAAAACUAUAUUGUUAGAUUUUUGAAAUUAAGUUAAGAUCUAACACGCAUGAUAACAACUUAGGCCUCCACACACCUAUAAAAUAAAAUAUAAAAACUAAUGCCUCCACACACAUAUAAUUAACUGGAUAACUUGUAACAGUUAGAUUUAAGUAAAUAUAUACUAUAAGAUUGUAUAUGAAGAUGCUAUUUAUGGGAGAAAAAUGGAGGAACUGACUUUAUGAUACAUAAAAAAUUUAAAAUAAAACUAACCUAGUAUAUUUAUCUAGAUUUGGCCCAAUAUGGUUCAAUGAAUUUGUGCCCUAUUAAACAAAUAUUUAUUUUUAUAAUAAGGACCGAAAAGAGUAUAGUAUUAAAAACUUACAUAUAUUUUCAAUGAGGAGUGCUAUGGACACUCUCUUUCUAACACUCUCUAACACUCACUCUUUUAUUGGGUGAAUUUAUGUGGGUACCACACAUUGGAAAUAGAUCCCACAUAAAGUGGUGAGUCCCACAUGAGUUUCACCCUAUAGGAGAGUGAGUGUUAGAGAGAUUGCUAAAAAGAGAAUGUUUCUAACAUUUCUCAUUUUCAAUACAAAAUUUAUGUUUUAGUUUAUUUUGUAACUCCUUAGCAUGUGUCUUUAGAAAGUUAGUAUGACCCUAAUAUAAAUAACAAAAUGCAUAUUGUUAAAUUAGCAAGUAGCAAUAAUGGAUUAGUUUAAUUGGUAAUAGAUUUGAAUCCCUUAAAUAAGAUGAGGGGUUCGAUCCCCAAUGCUUGAAUAUAGAAGAAAAAAAAAAUAAAAAAAAUAAGCACAAGCAGCAACUCUAUUAUAGCUUAUCCAGUUAAUGAGCAUCUGAGUUUUAUAAUAUUGACUGUAAUGAUGGUCAUUGUAUAUAAUUUUUUUUUUGACACAAUUGUAUAUAUCAAAGAUGAGCACAUUCCGUGAAGAUCAUACCAAAAUUAGAAACCAAAAUAAUUUUAUUAAAGUAAUAAUACUGUAAGCAACAGUUGCUCAUGCCAGAUCAUACCAACUACAAAGAAGAUUAAAGAGGAAUAUUAUAUAUACCAGUUCAAGUAUAGUCAAUUAAAAAAGAUUAAAUAAUGUAUCAGAUUAUACAUUUUCUUCAUUUAUUCAUUUCUAUAUAAAGGAAGCCCUUCACAUACAUUAAUCACUCAUCCAUUAGCCAUAGCAUUGAACUCACCAUGGCUUCUUUUUCUACACUUUUCUCCACUCUAAUUCUCACAAUAGCCCUUCUCUCAUUUUCUUGCUCAUCACAACAGUUCUUCUCACCAGUUGAAAAAGACCCAAUAACCAAUCUAUUCUCCACUUUACUUUGGGUAGGAACAGAACCUACACAUGAAUUCAAUUUUGUGAUUGAUAUUGGAGGACCAAUCCUAUGGUAUGACUGCAACAAAGCCUACAACUCUUCAACCUACAAUCCCAUCUCUUGUGAAUCCAAACAUUGCACUAAUGAUGCUGGAUGCACUAGCUGCAAUGGUCCUUUCAAACCAGGUUGCUCAAACAAUACAUGUGGUGCAAACAUAAUUAAUCCAUUAGUUGAUGCAAUUUUUUCAGGUGACACUGGCAGUGAUGCUUUGUUCAUACCAAAAUCUAAAAUCAAAGUCUCUGACUUUAUCUCUGGUUGCACUGACUCUAAUGCAUUUGCUGAUUCUGCUGACUCUGAUUUCCCUCUCAAAAACUUACCAAAAACUAGUAAAGGUAUAUUAGGCCUUGCAAGAACACCACUUUCAUUACCAAAACAGCUUUCAUUAGCUCCUCAAAAAAUUCUUAACAAGUUUGUUCUUUGUUUACCAUCUUCAAACAAACUUGGUAGUAUAUUCAUAGGUGGGGUACCAUCUAAUUUUGCCAAGUUUAAACUCACUACUAUUCCUCUUAUUAUUAACCCCUUUAGCACUGCUCCAAUAUUUACUGAAGGUGAUGCUUCUUAUGAAUACUUUAUUGAUGUGAAAUCAAUUAAAGUUGGUGGUGAAGUUCUGAGCUUCAAGUCCUCCCUUUUGUCCAUUGACAAUAAGGGAAAUGGUGGAACAAAACUUAGCACAAUGAAGUCCUUCACUGUGUUUCAUAGUUCCAUAUUGAAACCACUUGUUAGAGAUUUUAAUAAGAAGGCCUCUGAUAAAAAAAUUAAGAAAGUGUCAUCAGUGGCACCAUUUGAAACAUGUUUUGAUUUGAGCACUAUUGGUAGGUCUAAUGCUGGAUUGGAUGUGCCUACUAUUGGUUUGGUGCUAGAAGGAGGUGUGGAGUGGACAAUUUUUGGUGGAAAUUCAAUGGUGUUGGUGAGUAAAAAUGUUGCAUGUCUUGGAUUUGUGGAUGGUGGUAAAGAGCCAAGAACAGCUGUUGUGAUUGGUGGACACCAAUUGGAGGACAAUCUAUUGGAGUUUGAUUUGAUUUCUUCUAAAUUAGGAUUCAGCUCUUCCUUGCUCCUUCAAAAUGGAAGUUGUUCCAGAUCAGAUGUUAGUGAAAAUCUCAUUUCAGUCGAGUGAGAUUAUUGAGUUUAAAGUAACUUUUGUUGUUUCCCUUUUAAUCAAGUAAGAUAAGUCAGUCAUUUGUAACUUUAUUCCUUUUCAAUUCUCUCUAUGAUAGUAACUUAUGUAUUGUUGACUACGAAUGAAUGAAAGUGCGUGCAUUUUUUGUUUGAAUAUUGGUUUGAAGUUGGAAGGAAAUUAAAAGGUUGGAAGAUUAAAUAUCAAUAUUCGGUGAAUAUUGGUGUGUGAAUUAAAAAAAUUGAAUGUUGAGGUCGCACGUAGAAUAGAACACACAUAUUAAUAAUGUCUAUAUUGUGAUAUUUAUUUUUAAAUAUCUGAUAAUGAUGAAAAAAUAAUAGUAAUUAUUUUUUGAUUGUGCAUGUCACUACUUAUAAUUUUUUAUAAUGUUUGAUUGUGAUAAAAUUGAAAUUUAAUUGAGUUUCUUAUUUUUUUUCUCCAUUUGUAUCCAAUUAGUCCGUUUUCUCUACUUUGUGGUUAGUUUCUUUAUUAUCUUAUCUACGAUAGUCCUUGAACUAAUCAAAUUAAUGCCGCGAUUAUAGUUUAACUCAAUUAUGGAAUCUCUAUAUAAAUAAAUGAAUCCACUCACUGACACACUAUAAAGAGUUCUAUUGAAUCAUCAAUAACUAUUUCUCUCUUCUCUCUCUUACCGUUCGAUGCAUUUGCGAGAAAAUUCUCCCCUCUUCUUUACUAUCCUUUAUAAAUUAUGAGUGUUCUUAAUAUCGUAGUCCCUUUUAAGGCAUAACGUCGCUUCAUAAUUAAAAAUGAUCUUAAGAGCAUAGUCGCUUUGAUAAUUUGUGUCACUUCAAAAUAAAAAGUAUUUUCUAAUGUCAUUGUCCCUUUUGAGGAAUAAUGUCUCUUAGAAAUUAAUAAUGAUCUUAAGAGUAUAGUCCCAAUUAGAUAUUUUCUACCCUUGGAGAUGUUAGAGGUUAGAAUGGUUGUAGCACCAUAUUUGAGUAGUCAUAAUAUCAUAGUAGAGUGGUCAUAGUUCCACAUUUAAGUGGUUUCAAUAUUAAAUUUAAGUGAUCUUAGUACCAUAUUUGAGGAGUAAUUCUAGAGAAGAACCUACAAUGUUGCAAGACUUUGAGACAGCUGUAGUUGAACUAUUUUAUACUAGAGGUGGUGUGGUUGAUAUAUGAAAAAGAGGAGCUCGUUGGUGAAUCAAUAUAAUGUAUCGAGUUGCGGCAGUGUGUGAUUGGACGAACAAGUGCAUUGGAUUGUAGUUUAAUAGAGGUCGUUGAGGGAUAGAUACAUGGUUGUAUCUGAGGCAGGACGAGGAGAGCGACCGUUCUAAACCCCAAAUAAUAAGUACUAAAUUUGGGCAAAAAUAAUAAUAAUAGGGGCACAUUAGGCCCUAAUAAAUUUAAUUACAUUAUAAAGGAAUGCGUGGUUGUCAAUAUUAGGCUUAAUUUUUUUUAUUGAUCUAUUUAUAAAUUAUGUUGAUGUUAUAAAAGAAGUUUAAAUCCCUAGCCUUCCACCAUCCCUCAACUUCCUUAAAAAAAAAAAAAAAAACUCACACCAUAUCCCUCAACCUGCAACAGCUAAAUAUCACACACUUUCUUUUCAAAAAAAAAUUCCUAUAUUGAUAAAAAAGAAUGAUAAUGAUGAGGAAUUUUUUAGAGUCAAUUAUUUUUUGGUGGUUGUUGAUAUGAUAAUAACUUCAAUGAAAAAUAGAUUGGAGUAUUUAAAUUGUUUGAAAGUAUUUUUUUAAUUUUAAUUUGAGACAAGAAUGUUGAAACCAUAGGAAAAUGAUGAACUAAAAAAAUCUUGCACAAAUUUCAAGGUUGCAUUUUCUUAUAAGGGUUUAACGGAUGUUGAUGCAAAUUAUAUUUUUCUAAAUUGAAAGUGUGUGGAUGUGAACAUUUGCAAUUCUUGGGUUUGCAAAGCCGCAAAUUGUUAUCUGAGUGUUUCAAUUGUGUAUCGAAUUCUUUUAACGAAUGUUUGCGAGUGUUGCAUCUGAAGAAAUGUUUUUCGAAGUUAAAAUUAUUCAAAAACUACUUGAGAUAUUCGUCAAUGUCACAAGAAAGGUUGAAUGGUCUAGCCAUUUUGUGUAUUGAGAAAGAUAUGAUAAAAACAUACUCAAGUAGGCAUAAUUAUUAGUGACUUUGCAUCUAAAAAUGCUCGUAAGAAUAGCUUUGUAUUAGCAUUUGAAUAUUAAAUAAAAAAAAUUGGCUUAAAUACACUUUUGGUAUCCUAUUUUAAUUUUUCUGGAGUUUCGGUACCUAUUAUAAAACUCAUCUUUUUGGUUGCCCUAUUUUAAUUUUUUUUUUUCUUUCUAACUUUUGAUCCUCCAUCCUUCUACUAAAAAACUUGACUUUUAGUGACAAUAAAUUUUUGUAAGCAAAACUUGGUUUGCCAUAGACAUAGCCCAAAAAUCUAUAGCCACGGAUGUUUGGCCGUUGCUAUAGCCUACAGCGACGGAUUUUGCAUGUUAGACAGAACUCUUUGUUUUACCUACGGAUCUUAUCCGUUGGUAUUGAGUUUAAUGAACACUUGGAAAUAUGUAGGUUAGGUACUAGGGGCUAUACUUACGAAGUUUCUAAGUGUUGAUUAAACUCUAUACCUACGAAUAAAACAAAAGUUUUGUCUGACAUGCAUAAUUUAGUAAUGUAGAUUAUAGUGAUGGUCGAAAAUCCCUGGGUAUAUGUACUUGUGCUAUGCCUACGGUAAACCAACUUUUGCAUACAUAAAUUUACUGUCACUAAUAAUCAAGUUUUUUAGUAGUAGGGAUGGGGGAUCGAAAGUAAAAAAUAAAUUAAAUAGGGCCAAAAUGCUGAAUUUUAAAAAAGGGGUACCAAAAUGUUUUUUUUUUAUUUAUAAAAUAUAAUAUUUUUAUUAGAUUAUUCUCUUAGCGUAAUAAAAACUAGUUACUGAUUCUGCAUUCAGUGUUGAGAUUAAAUGCUAUUGAGAUUGCCUACCAGAAAAAUUGGCUCAACCUAUGGUUGGAAAAUGAUUCCAAGCUAAAUAUGAUGACUUUCAAAAAUGCUGCUUUGAUUCCUUGGGCCUUAAGAAACAGGUGGAUGAACUUUCAAGAAAUGAUCAAUGGCAUGAACUUCAUGGUUACUCACAUCUUCAGAAAUGGUAAUACUUGUGCUGAUGAUUUAGCGAACUUAGGUCUUAAUGUUCCAAGUUUUGUUUGAUGGCAGGAUGCACCUAGCAAUAUUAGAAGAGAUGUAUGUAAUUACAAACAUGUUGGGUAUGUCCAAUUUUAGAUUUGUUACCUUCUGAAAAGGUUAUGGGUAUAUCCCACUUUUCUCUUUUGUAUAUCUUCCUUUGUUUUUAAUGAUAUUGGAUAGCGUGCUUUGCACUACUCUUAAAAAAAGAAAAAGAGUAGAAGUUAGUUUUAUUAUUUUUUGUAAAAAAAAUUAAUACAUCGCUCCUUAAAUAUAAUAAAGUUCUUCAUUCAAUUUUCUAUUUAGUUUUUUUUAGGGAACAUUUUUCUGUUUAGUUAUUUAUGUAUCGAUAUACCUUUAAUUAUUUUCCAUUCUUUUUGGCAUAGCCUUUAAUUAUAUAUAUAAUGUCACGGUAUUGCGUCUUCUUUGACGUGAUUAAUAUAUGCAUAAAAGAACACCACAAAUAAAAAAUAUAUGCAUCAAAAAAGGCAUUCCUUCGAUAAAGACAGACGGCUAAGAAAAAUGAUGCACAUGUUAAAGACAUAACAAAAUAUAAUUUAAAGUGUAAUAAAAAAAAUUAAAGCAAGCAUGCCCUAUAAAUAACAUAUCAUUAGGCUGUUUUCCAGCAAAAAGAAAAUAGUACAAGACCAGUGUCUAUUAUUGUGUUUUUUUUUUUUUUAAAUAAAUUAAAUAAUCCAUAUUGAAAACUUUAAUUCCAAACUAGCCUACAUAAAAUAAAAUUGUCAAAAUACUAUACUUUUCGGUUUGCAUAUUGGACCUUGCAAGUUAAGUACCUCGCAAGUCAAAUUAAUUCAUAUGCUUUCUGCUAUUCAACUGAGUGUCCUUUCACAUGUUUUAGAUUUAACUUGGUAUAAUGAUGCUUCAUUUAAGGUAUCUUUAUUUGUUUGGCUGUUCUUACGUAAUUGGCUUUUAAUCAAGGAUAAUUUGUUUAGACGAGAUAUCAUCAAUCAUGAUCGAAGUUUUGUGUAAGUGGUUGUAGUGUCUUUGAAUCGAUAAAUCAUCUGUUUUUUGAUUGUAAUGUUUUUAUUGCUAUUUGGCACCUUAAUCAUUGUUGGAUUGGGAUUUUUUCUGUCAACCCUUUUGGUAUUUUAGACCAUUUUGUUAUGUUUGGUCAUUUAACAUACGUUUCUAAAGUUCAGCGAUCUAUCUCACACGUCAUCAUUUGGUUCUUUUGUGUUCGUGUAAUUUGGAAAGAGAGGAACAACAAAAUUUUCAAUUCAGCAGCUCUUGGGCAAAAUUAAGUUACUUUCUUAUUAGUAGCAAAAUAUGCUAAUAUUGUUUUUGGGUAUCAUAGCUAGUGGCUUGCCCCUUUCUCUUGUUUCGACAUUGUUUAAUUGCUCUCUAUUAUUUUUCUCUCAUAUCAAUAUUUACUUGUUUCUUUUAUAAUCUCUGAUGUUCUUCUUAAUACAUCUUGUGCUGCAUAGAAUGUUUUUUUGUUGGUAAUAUAUUCCAUUUGAUUCUUUAAAAAAACUUUUUUUUUAGUUAAAAACUGAAAGCCGGAAAGUGAGCUCUAUGUGAGAUUGAAAGGGUAUGUACUCUUAUGGAUAUAGAGACCCUGGGAGUAAAAUGUUGCAGAAGCAGCAGAACUGACUUCGUGGAAACAGUAUAUAAAAAAAUGGGGCAACCGACUUUAUGGGAAAACGAAAAUUAAAAACUAACAUUUUAUAUUUCUCUAUGUGAGAUUAAAGGUGGCAUUUCACAUGGGAAAUGUUAAUCCUUUCCCACCAUGGGAAAGUUGGAUUCAAUGAUUAGAUUAAGUGAAGAACAUAUUCUUAACAUGCUCUUUCAACACUAGAUUUUUCUUCACAGUUUCUUUCAACAAUUUUAAAAUUCUAAAAAUUAAUUUUUAGAAAUUAAAAAAAUAUAAAAAAUUCAGAUAAUUUUUUUUUUUAAAAAUUCUGUAAUUCAUUUAUUGAAUGUUAGAAUUUUUUUUUUGAAAAAAUGAAAAAAAAAUUGCUCAGAAUUUUAUUUUCUUAGAAAAAUAAAAAAAAUUAAUUUCAAAAUAUUUUUUUUAGGAUUUCUAUUUUAUUUUUCAGAAUAUCUUAUUUUAUUAUGAAAUUAAAAAAUAUAUUCUUUUUAGAAAAAUAAAAACUUAUCUUAAUUUCCAAAAUUUUAUUUUUAUUGAAAUAAUUAUUAUUUUUUUGCAAAAAAAAAAUUAUAACAUUCAAUAAAUGAAUUACAGAAUUAAAAAAAAAAUUAUAUGAAUUUUUUAUAUUUUUUUAAUUUCUGAAAAUUAAUUUUCAAAUUUUUAAAUUGUUAGAAGAUAGUGUGAAGAAAAAUCUAGUGUUGAGAGAACAUGUUAAGAAUAUGUUCUUCACUUAAUAUAAUCAUUGAAUCAACUUUCCCAUGGUGAGAAAGGAUUAACCUUUCCCAUGUGAACACACACCGAGAUUAAAAGCCUCAUUUUAUAUUGCCCUUGAUUUGGCCCAAUCUAGUCGGACAUAUGAAGAUGCUAUAUAUGGGAGAAAAGUGGGGGAACUGCCUUUAUGGUAAAAAGAAAAUAAAAAAUUAACCUCUUAGCCAAAUCUUCUUCAAUGAAUUUAUACCCUCUUAUGUGUUAAUUUUUUUGUCAGAUAGUCUAGUGGCCGGAGCUCACACAUUUUAAAUGUGGAGAAGUGGAGUGUCCGAAGUUCGAACCCCGACCCCUGCAUAUAAAAUACAUUUGUCCCUACCAACUGAACUAAGCUCAUGGGAACUCUUAUGUGUUAAUUUUAAUAAAUAAAUGUAUAAAUCAAUCACUAAAACAUAUAUGAGAUUUAGUAACAUAAUAAAAUAAUGUUACUAUUUAAAUUUAGUAAUAUUUAAUAAAUAUUAGGUAAAAUCUACGUUACUAAAUGAUUCAAGGGGUAGAAGAUUUGAGCUUUUUAAACCAGUGAUUAGCAUAUAGGGAGAAGAAAAAAUAAAAAACUGGUAGCAUCAAUAUAUUAGAGUUCUUGCACCCAGUUGAUAAAGCAUCCAAGUUUUAUAAUAUUGACUGUAAUGAUAGUCAUUGUAUAUAAUUGUUUUCUUGACAGCAUUGUAUAUGCCAAAGAUGAGCACAUUCCGUGAAGAUAUAAACAAUUACAAACCAUAACUAUUUUAUUGAAGUAAUUAUACUGUAAGCAACAAUUUUUAAUUCCAGAUCAUACCAACUACAAAGAAGAUUAAAGAGGAAUAUUAUAUAUACCAGUACAAAUGUACACUACUAGAACAAAUCACAUUUAGUAAUACUUGAAAAUUGUAACUAAAUCAAGAAAAAUAUUACUAAUUAAAUUUAGUAACACAUGAACAAUUGUUAGAUAAAGUCCGUGUUACUAAAGAGUUUUAAUUACAUUUUAUAGUACUAUCCGUAAUAAUAAAAAAAUGUCGCAAAUGUUGCAUUAUUGUAACACUUUUUGUAUCACUUAAUAACAAUAAAAAAUGUUACAUUUAUAAUUUUUGAGAAGUUGUUCACAUCUACAAUGUUGUAAGUCUCUAAGACAGAUAUAGUUGGACUAUUUUAUCUUAGAGGUGGUGUGAUUGAUAUAGGAAAAAGAGGAGUUCGUUGGUGAAUCAACUUAAUGUAUUGACUUGCGGCGGUGUAUUUAAAGUGUUUGAACGUAUUUUUGAAUUUUAAUUUGAUACAAAAAUGUUGAAAUCAUAGGAUUGUGAUGAACUAAAAAAAUCUUCCACAAAUUUUAAGGUUGCAUUUUCUCAUAAGGGUUUAACGGAUGUUGAUACAAAUGAUAUUUUUCUAAAUUGAAAGUGCUGCAAAUGUCUUCGUCAAAUGUGUAGAUGUGAACAUUUGAAAUUCUUGAGUUUGUCAAAGCUGCAAAUUGUUAUAUGAAUGUUUCAAUUGCAUAUCGAAUUCUUUUAACAAUAUAUGUGAGUGUUGCAUCUGCAGAAAGGUGUUUUUCGAAGUUAAAAUUAUUGUAAAAAUACUUUAGAUAUUCGUAUAUGUCACAAGAAAGGUUGAAUGGUCUAGCCAUUUUGUGUAUUGAGAAAGAUAAGAUAAAACAUAUUGAUGUAGGCACAAUUAUUAAUGACUUUGCAUCUAAAAAUGCUCGUAAAAAUGGUUUUGUAUUAGCAUUUAAAUAUUAAAUAAUUUUUUUAGCUUAAAUGCACUUUUGGUACUCUAUUUUAAUUUUUCUGAAGUUUUGGUACCCCUAUUUAAAAUAUAACUUUUUGGUCGCUCUAUUUUAAUUUUUAUUUCUAACUUUUGAUCUCUCUCCGUACUAAAAAUUUGGCUUUUGGUGACAGUAAAUUUCUGUGGGUAAAACUUAGUUUACUGUAGGCAUAGCCAAAGUACCUAUACCCACAAAUUUUUGGCCAUCGAUUACAGAUAUGGAUUUUGCAUAUAAGACAAAGCUUUUUGUUUUACCUAUGGAUUUUAUCCAUAGGCAUAGAGUUUAAUCAACACUUAGAAAUAUGUAGGUAGGUACUAGGGGCUAUACCUAUGAUGAAAGAAAUUUUACUUGUGGAAAUUUAUUGUUACUUUCUAUAUACUUGGUGCUAUAGCUACGGCAAGAGGACCUACGAAAAUUUAUUGUCAUUAAAUGUCAAGUUUUUUUGUAGUGGAAAUGGGAGAUCAAAAGUAAAAAAAAUAAAAUAAAAUAGGUGUAACAAAACUUCGGAAAAAAUGAAAAUAGGGGUACCAAUAUGUUUUCUUUAUAUGAAAUAUGAUGUUUUCAUUAGAUUAUAUUUUAACGUGAUAAAAAUUAUUAUCUUCUCAACCAAAUUAUUUUCACACUUUAAGAAUUUAAAUUUUUUAUAUGUUUAUUAAUUAGAGUCCAAAUUAUAAGUUCGGUCAUAGAUCACCAAAAUUUUUGAAACGGUCCUGAAUAGAUAUAUGAAGGUGAAAAGUGUAUAACUAACUACCUUUUUGUCAUAUUCUUUAAUGAAAACAUUAACUAAAAGAUAAUUUCUAAAAAUCCAUAUGUAUAAUUAAAAUGAUCAAAUAAAACUUAUACUACUAUAGGUGUUCUCUCUUAAUUAUCACCUAGCUUUUACUAGAAAUUAAAAUCUCAAACUUUUAAUUAUACAUGUAUUAUUAUUUCAUUUCACUUUGAGAUGUUACUCUAAUUCGUGUAAAAAAAAAAUGUAACCCUACUUAUUAUAUUCGUCUGUCUUAAACGUGCACAUAUAAGUUCGAACAUGCACUUUUUAUCAUUGGAUUUGUCUAACAUGUGCAACAUUGCACAUGUUAAAACAACUAAUAGUAGUAACUUUUUUUUGAAAAACAACAAUUAUUUAUUCAAAAGUUUAAUAUUUAAUACUAAGUGUACACGUUCCAAUACAAAAUUUCUAUCUUAAACUUUUUAACACGUGCAAAUUUGCACAUGAUAGAAAAACUCUUUAUCAUUUAAUAUGUGUGAGUUUUGUCAUUCAUUAAAACAAAAAAUAUAAAAUAAAAAAAUUGAUUGUCCCGUAUAACUUUUUAUUUUAAUUUAUCAAAUAAAUAACAAGUCCUUUUUUCUCUCCCUAAAAUAAAGUACUUAUUGUGUCUCAAUCCAACUAACUAUUUAUAGUAAGAAAAUUUUAUUUAUUGAAACUUAUUUUAUCACAAAAAUUAGUACUAUUUUUUCUCUAUUGCCCAAAGAAUAGUAUUAAUGAGUUUGGUGUUCGUCAAGUGGAUUGUAGGAACCUAUUAAACUUUAAAUGUCAAAAUUCUAAUGUUGAUGAGCUCGUUAAAGAAUGUAGUUGUUCACACUUUAGUUAAGAUGACUACAUAUAUGGUUAGUCUUCUUUUAUGAGUUUUUUUCUUAAUAGGCUAAAUUUUAUUGAAACAUUUAGUCCAUAUAUAGCACAAGGGGUGAUAGUGAACUAAGGAAAUUACAAGAUUACUACAAAGUUCAUAAGGGAAACAGAAACAUACAAACUUAAACAACUAAAGACCCCUAAUACAUAGAUAAAAACGUAUAGUAGCACCCCACUCCAAAAUCACAACACCAAACAGCACUCACAACCUGCAACCCAAAAACAAUCUCCACAGACAAACAAUGAAAUCGACCCAGGCACCAAUUUUAUCAACACUCAAAACACCAGCCAAAAGAGGCACAUUACAACACCAAAAAAACCACACCUAAACCUGUUAAUAUCAACCGUAACACUCCAACAAGAACAAACUCCCACACCCACACACAAAACAGUAAAUGAACACCAAACUGCACCAAUAACAACAUUGUCAAUAAACCAGAAAACAACACAACAACCCCUUCACCCGCUACUCGCAAAACAAGUGGCAAAGACAAAACAACUCUAUACUUGCACAACUAGAACAGUAAAGACAAAACAACUCCAUGUAUCACAGCAAGACCACUCCAAACACUCAUGUCCCCGACCAAAACUAGACACCUUCAGAAGAAGGGAAAAAUAAAACACAUCAAGCACAAGGGGGAAAAAAAACGCACCAAAAUACAACAAAAAAAAUACAACUCAAAUUCUAGCAACAAAAUGCCUACAGACUGAAACAACACACAAGCCCAUAAUGGGCGAUUCAAAAGUCGCUUUUGAUUUCUUUGAAGAGUCGAAAUUACUUUAUUAUUUUUUGUAAAAAAAAUUAAUACAUCCCUCCUUAAAUAUAAUUAGGGUCUUGCUAACUUGUAAUCAAAAAGCACAAAAUAAGAAAGUUAGUGUAGAAAUUUAAUCUUAGAAAUUGUGCAUUUAUGAUUUUUAUAGGUUAAAAACUUAUCUUUUCAAUGCAACAUUUAUUUUUUAAUUCUAUUUUUAGAUCAUUAUAUUGUGCUAAUACAAUUUAGCAUUUUCCGUAGAGUUUUUCUAUUCACAUCUUAUAUAUUUCUGGUUACACUCAGUUUUUUUAAAAAAGUUUUUGAUAAUACCAAAAUUGUCAUUUUAUAUAAAUUUUCUUAAAAUCUUGAUUUCAUUGUCACUCUAAAAUUCCACUCUCUUUCACCCACCAACGAUCAAACAAUCUUGAUGUUCAAUUAAUCUCUAUGGAAGAUUAAAGAGUGAAUCAAACCAUCUUUCAUUCAUACUCGAUUGCAUAUAAAUAAGUGAAUUUUUUCUUCUUUUUCAAUAACGUUGGUUUCAAUUUUCUUCUUCUUGUUCAACUGCAUUGUACGACAGUUUCAGUUUUACAUUGUUGAGGUUAACUUAAAUUCAGUUUAAGUAGGUUCAUGUAAACUUAGUUUACAUAAUCUACUUAAACUUAGUUUACAUAACCUACUUAAACUGAGUUUAAGUAUGUACACUUAAACUCAGUUUACAUGACCUACUUAAACUAAGUUUACAUGUACAUACUUAAACUGAUAUUACGUAUAAUCAUUGAACAAGGUUGAACUUUUAGAUGUACACUUAAACUCAGUUUACAUGACCUACUUAAACUGAGUUUACAUGACCUACUUAAACUCCGUUUACAUGAGCUACUUAAACUAAGUUUACAUGAUCUACUUAAACUCCGUUUACAUGAGCUACUUAAACUAAGUUUACAUGAUCUACUUAAACUGAGUUUAAGUAUGUACACUUAAACUUAGUUUACAUGACCUACUUAAAAUAAGUUUACAUGUACAUACUUAAACUGAGAUUACGUAGAAUCAUUGAACAAGGUUGAACUUUUAAAUGUACACUUAAACUCGGUUUACAUGACCUACUUAAACUUAGUUUAAGUAUGUACACUUAAACUCAGUUUACAUGACCUAGUGAAACUAAGUUUACAUGACCUACUUAAACUGAAGAGAGAUUUUAGGGUGUAACCAAGAAAAAAGGAAGAUGCUUUUUGUAAAUUAAAUUUUAUGGAAGGGUAAUUUUAUCAUUUUGAGGUGCAACCAGAAUUAAACAGGGUGUAAUUAGAAAAACUCUUUCCCGUAUGAUUAAGGUUGUCUUAAAAAAAAUUUUAAUCAUUUUUCUAUUUAGUUUUUUUUUUUAUCAAUCAAGUAAUCUAAUGACUAGAAAUUCACCAUUUUAAAAUGAAUAAACAAGGUGUUCAGAGUUCAAAUUUCAAUCUCCAUAUGUAUAUUUUAUAUAAUGUCCCUACCAAUCUAGCGAAACUCGCAAACUUUAUUUUUAAGCUCUAAACUCACAAACUUCUAUUUCGUUAUUUAUGUAUCGAUUACCUUUAAUUAUUUUCCAUUCUUUUUGGUACAGCCUUCGUCAUGCAUUAAAAAAUGUGUGCCGUCAGCAGUAUAAUGUCACGGUAUUGCGUCUUUUUUGACGUCAUUAAUAUUUAAUAAUAUAUGCAUCAAAAAAGGUAUUCCUUCGGUAGAGAUUGACAGCUACUAUGAUUUUUUUUUUGAAGGAGACAGCUACUAUGAAUAUGAUGCAAAUGUUAAAGACAUAACAAAAUAUAAUUUAAUGUGUAAUUAAAAAAAUUAAAGCAAGCAUGUCCAAUAAAUAACAUAUUAUUAGGCUGUUUUCCAACAAUUGGUCUUGUUUUCCAACAAGACCAAUAAAUUAAAGCAAACAUGUUAUUUAUAAUAACAUAUCAUUAUAAAUAACAAGACCAAUGUCGAUUACUGUGUUUUUUUUUUAAAUAAUCCAUAUUGAAAACUUUAAUUCCAAACUAGCCUACGUAAAAGAAAAUUGCCAAAAUACUAUACUUUUCGGUUUGCAUAUUGGACCUUGCAAGUUAGGGUAUCUCGCAAGUCAAAUUAAUUAAUACAUAUGCUUUCUACUAUUCAACUGAGUGUACGUCUUUUUGCAUGUUUUAGAUUUAAUCUGGUCUAAGGAGGCUCUAUAUAAGAUAUUUUUAUUUGUUUUGGUGUUUCUUAUCAAGGAUAACUUGUUUAGACGAGGUAUCAUCAAUCAUGAUCACAAUUUUGUGUAAGUGGUUGUAGCGUCUUUGAAUGGACAAAUCAUCUGUUUUUUUUAAUGUAAUGUUUUUAGUGCUAUUUGACACCUUGUUCGUCGUUGGAUUGGGAUUUUUUCGGUCAACCCUUUUGGUAUUUUAGAAUAUUUUGUUCUAUUUGGUCAUUUAGCAUACGUUUCUAAAGUUCAGCGAUCUAUCUCGCACGUCAUUUGGUUCUUUUAUGCUUGUGUAAUUUAGAAAGAGAGGAACAACAAUAUUUUCAAUUCAGCAGCUCUUGGACAACAUUAAAUUACUCUCUUAUUGGUGGCAAAUUAUGCUAAUAUUGUUCUUGGAUAUCAUAGCCGAUGGCUUGUCCCUUUCCCUUGUUUGAGCAUUGUUUAAUUGCUCUCUGUUAUUUUACUCUCUUAUCAUUUUUUACUUGUUCCUUUUAUAAACCCAUAUGUUCUUCUCUAAUACUUCUUGUGCAGUUGUGCUUCAUAGAAUGUUUUCUUGUUGAUAAUAUAUUCCAUUCUGAUUCGUUAAAAAAACAAUUUUUUAGUUAAAAAUUGAAAGCCGGAAAGUGAGCUCUAUGUGAGAUUGAAAGGGUAUCUAUCUACUCUUAUGGAUAUAGAGGCUCUGGGAGUAAAAUGAUGCAGAACUGACUUUGUGGAAACAAUAAAUAAAAAAAUGGAGCAACUCACUUUAUGGAAAAACGAAAAUAAAAAACUACUCCCUCUGUCCCUUAAUAAGUGACACAGUUGACCCAAUUACGCAUACCAAUGCGUAAUUUUGGGUUUAAAUAUCUUGAAUAAUAUAUUGGAAAAAAAUUAUGAAAAUUUGAUAUUUUGAAAAUACUCAUCGAGACGAAUCUAACGACAUCUUAUAUGAUAUUAUUUAUCUUUGUAUAUUAGUAGAAAAAUAUGGUCAAAGUAAGUUAGGUCAAAAUUGCACAUUUUCAAACAGGUCAUUUAUUGCGGGACGGAGGGAGGGAGUAACGUUUUAUAUUGCUCUUGAUUUGGCCCAAUCUAAUCUUACAUAUGAAGAUGCUAUAUAUGGGAGAAAAAUGGGGAGAACUGCCUUUAUGGUAAAAAGAAAAUAAAAAACUAACCUCUUAGCCAAAUCUUCUUCAAUGAAUUGGUGCCCUUCUUAUGUGUUAAUUUUAAUAACAAAAUGCAUAAGUAAAACACUACAAUAUAUAUGAGAUUUAGUAACAUUUAAAUGUUAGUAAAUACAAGAAAAAUGUUACUAUUUAAAUUUAGUAAUAUUUGAUAAAUGUUACGUAAAGCCCGUAUUACUAAAUGAUUCAAUUGGUAAAAGAUUUGACCUUUUUAAGCAAGUGUUAAGCCUAUGGAGAGAAUAAAAAAACAAAAAACAAGUAGCAUCAAUAUAUUAGAGUUUAUGCACCCAGUUGAUAAAGCAUCCAAGUUUUAUAAUAUUGACUCUAAUGAUGGUCAUUGUAUAUAAUUUUUUUGUUCACAGCAUUGUAUAUACCAAAGAUGAGCACAUUCCGUGAAGAUAUAAACAAUUACAAGCCAAAAUUAUUUUAUUAAAGUAAUAAUACUGUAAGCAACAAUUGUUCAUUCCAGAUCAUACCAACUACAAAGCAGAUUAAACAGGAGUAUUAUAUAUACCAGUACAAAUGUAGUCAAUUAAAAAAGAUUAAAUGAGUAUAAGAUUAUACAUUUUCUUCACAUAUUCAUUUCUAUAAAAAGGAACCCUUCACAUACAUUAAUCACUCAUCCAUUAGCAAUAGCAUUGAACUCACAAUGGCUUCUUUUGCUACACUUUUCUCCUCUCUAAUUCUCACAGUAGCCCUUCUCUCAUUUUCUUGCUCAUCACAACAGUUCUUCUCACCAGUUGAAAAAGACCCAAUAACCAAUCUAUACUCCACUUUACUUUGGGUAGGAUCAUUACCUACACAUGAAUUCAAUUUUGUGAUUGAUAUUGGAGGACCAAUCCUAUGGUAUGACUGCAACAAAACCUACAAUUCUUCAGCCUACAAUCCCAUCUCUUGUGAAUCCAAACAUUGCACUAAUGAUGCUGGAUGCACUAGCUGCAAUGGCCCUUUCAAACCAGGUUGCACAAACAACACAUGUGGUGCUAACAUAAUUAACCCAUUAGUUGAUGCUAUUUUUUCAGGUGAC